rnacentral:rRNA from 1 species
AGAGUUUGAUCAUGGCUCAGGACGAACGCUGACGGUGUGCUUUAGACAUGCAAGUCGAACGAGAAAGCCCUUCGGGGUGAGUACAGUGGCGAACGGGUGAGUAACACGUGGGCAAUCUGCCCCUCGCAGGGGGACAACCGGGGGAAACCCCGGCUAAUACCCCGUACGCUUACGGAGCCGCAUGGCUCCAUAAGGAGAGGUAGCUUCGGCCAUCCGGCGAGGGAUGAGCCCGCGGUACAUUAGCUAGUUGGUGAGGUAACGGCUCACCAAGGCGACGAUGUAUAGCUGGUCUGAGAGGAUGAUCAGCCACACUGGGACUGAGACACGGCCCAGACUCCUACGGGAGGCAGCAGUCGGGAAUCUUGCGCAAUGGGCGAAAGCCUGACGCAGCAACACCGUGUGAGCGACGAAGGCCUUCGGGUCGUAAAGCUCUGUUGUUGGGGACGAAGGGUUAGGGGUUAAUAGCCCCGAGCCUGACGGUACCCUUCGAGGAAGCCCCGGCUAACUACGUGCCAGCAGCCGCGGUAAUACGUAGGGGGCGAGCGUUGUCCGGAAUUAUUGGGCGUAAAGAGCGUGUAGGCGGUUCGGUAAGUCUGCCGUGAAAACCCAGGGCUCAACCCUGGGCGUGCGGUGGAUACUGCCGGGCUAGAGGGUGGUAGAGGCGAGUGGAAUUCCCGGUGUAGCGGUGAAAUGCGCAGAUAUCGGGAGGAACACCAGUAGCGAAGGCGGCUCGCUGGGCCACACCUGACGCUGAGACGCGAAAGCGUGGGGAGCAAACAGGAUUAGAUACCCUAGUAGUCC